ACAUUCUCGUCAAGGGGAGCGCCCGUUUCCAUUUAGUGUGGAUAAGGGUUUUGCUCGAUCGCACAGAAUGCAGCGGAAGCAUUAUAGGGGACUGUCAAAUCCUCAGUGUGUGCAUGGAAUUGAAGUUGUUCCCUCACCCAAUCUCAUGGGUUUUGAUGAGGAUGAUAAGAAAAGAUGGAUGGAACUCACAGGCAGGGAUUUGAACUUCACAAUCUUACCUGAAGCCAGUGAUUUCAGUUCUUGGAGAAACCUUCCGAACACAGAUUUCGAGCUUGAGAGGCCACCUCCUCCUAUAAAGAGUGCCUCUAAUUCUCACUCAAACAAGCUGCUCAAUGGGUCUGGGCUCAAUUUGUCAACUCAGCCAUCCAGCCAUAG
rnacentral:misc_RNA from 1 species